ACGGUAACGAACUAGCUUGCUAGUUGCUGACGAGUGGCGGACGGGUGAGUAAUACUUAGGGAUCUGCCUCUGUGUGGGGGAUAACUAUUGGAAACGAUAGCUAAUACCGCAUAACGUCUACGGACCAAAGAGGGCUUCGGCUCUCGCGCAGAGAGGAACCUAAGCGAGAUUAGCUUGUUGGUGAGGUAAAGGCUCACCAAGGCGACGAUCUCUAGCUGUUCUGAGAGGAAGAUCAGCCACACUGGAACUGAGACACGGUCCAGACUCCUACGGGAGGCAGCAGUGGGGAAUAUUGCACAAUGGGGGCAACCCUGAUGCAGCCAUGCCGCGUGUGUGAAGAAGGCCUUCGGGUUGUAAAGCACUUUCAGUUGUGAGGAAAGGUUAGUAGUUAAUACCUGCUAGCUGUGACGUUAACAACAGAAGAAGCACCGGCUAACUCCGUGCCAGCAGCCGCGGUAAUACGGAGGGUGCGAGCGUUAAUCGGAAUUACUGGGCGUAAAGCGCACGCAGGCGGUCUGUUAAGCUAGAUGUGAAAGCCCCGCGCUCAACGUGGGAGGGUCAUUUAGAACUGGCAGUCUAGAGUCUUGGAGAGGGGAGUGGAAUUCCAGGUGUAGCGGUGAAAUGCGUAGAGAUCUGGAGGAACAUCAAUGGCGAAGGCAACUCCCUGGCCAAAGACUGACGCUCAUGUGCGAAAGUGUGGGUAGCGAACAGGAUUAGAUACCCUGGUAGUCCCCACCGUAAACGCUGUCUACUAGCUGUGUGCGGAUUUAAUCCGCGGGUAGCGAACCCAACGCGAUUAAUAGACCGCCUGGGGA
rnacentral:rRNA from 1 species